rnacentral:rRNA from 1 species
GACGAACGCUGGCGGCGUGCUUAACACAUGCAAGUCGAACGGUGAAGCGCCUUCCUUUUUGGUGGGUGUGGAUGAGUGGCGAACGGGUGAGUAACACGUGAGUAACCUGCCCCCUUCUUCUGGAUAACCGCAUGCAAGUGUGGCUAAUACGGGAUAUUCUGGGUCUGUCGCAUGAUGGGUCUGGGAAAGAUAUUGUUUCGGUGGGGGAUGGGCUCGCGGCCUAUCAGCUUGUUGGUGGGGUGAUGGCCUACCAAGGCGGUGACGGGUAGCCGGCCUGAGAGGGUGGACGGUCACACGAGGACUGAGACGCGGCCCAGACUCCUACGGGAGGCAGCAGUGGGGAAUAUUGCACAAUGGGCGCAAGCCUGAUGCAGCGACGCCGCGUGAGGGAUGGAGGCCUGCGGGUUGUGAACCUCUUUCGCCAGUGAAGCAGGCCUGCCUCGUUUGUGGGUGGGUUGACGGUAGCUGGAUAAGAAGCGCCGGCUAACUACGUG